GAUACAUGACCAAGUAACAUAUAUUAUAUUUAGUGCAACUUCCAAAAUACCAUAAGCCUAAUGACGUGCAUCCAAAUUACACUGUUCAUCAUGAUCUAUCUAGGAAGUUUGAAAUGCAAAACAAAAUAGUAACUAAUAUAUAAUGGUCCAAGCAUUAUGCCUAAGCUAAAAUUGACCAAAACUUCAGAAGUUCACUUUGUUGCAUGUCCUGAAGAAAGAUCAUUAGACUCAUCACCCUUCAUGGAUCAUAAUGCUCAUCGCCAUGUAGAUCAUGACAAUCAUCGCCAUAGACAUCAUCACCCUUGCCAUAGAUCACGAUUCCUCCAGUAUUGUUUCACUAGACUAGUUGUAAGGGAGAUGAAAAUGAUGUAAUGUAGUUGAAAUUUAAUUGAGCAUAUAGUGACAAACUUUAGAUCUUUUAACUGACUAGUUAGCUGCUAUCUAGCAGUAUGACUACACAUUUACCUUUUGAUCCUUCACAUGCAAUUUUCAGGGUAACAUGAAUCAGCAGGAACACAUACUCAAAAUAAUAAAGAAUGAGGACUACACGUUGCUCUGUAUACUACAGAAAUAAUAUACCAAUAAACCACAGUGAUUUCAAUUUUAUAAUAAGUUUGCAACAGUUCAGAACACAUCAUGCUUUUUGAAUUACUUGUAACAUUCAUAUAAUUCCAAGCACAUGACAAUUUUCUAAUUAACUAUAUUCAUCAUAUCUCCAGAAGCCCCAUGUGCUAUAGUUAGACCAAGAUGGCCAUGUGAUAUAGGAAAAAAAAUUCCUAUAUGAGUUCAACAAAAUUUUACCCCUCGCACCGUAAUUAAGAUAGAUUUAGUGUAAAGAAAACAGCUAGUCCAUAGAUAGAUAUCUCAGUUAUGAGCCACAUCUAGGAAAAUAGGGCACAAGCAGGUGCAUACAUUAUAUAUAUAGUACAGUAGUAUCACCUAGGCAAUGUGGUAAGCUAAGAAAUCAGCUAAAAAAAGAAGGUCCCAAAGCAAGUUAUCUGUAUAGCAUGGUCUUCAAAGGCAUUGUACGCUGGCCAAGUGGUCAGUGUGCCUCAGACACAAGAUCUCAAAUAAAAAAAGGAAGGUCUCAAAACAAGGAAGUCGAUUGACAGGGCAAUGUUCUUAUUAGAAGUUCAGAACUCAAUGGUAGUGAUGAAGAUACAUGUAUUUUCGCAUAUAUGUUUCUCCAUGCGCAUGUUGUCUAGAACUAAAUUGGCGCAUAACUAGAUGGGAUGUAUGGCUAAGAGAUGAUGGACCAACCUUUUCAGUUUCGUGUUGACAAACAUCAUCUCGUCCGCUUUCAAAUACGACUUCAUGUACCUCAGCUCAAAAGCAUUACAUUAUUGCUCUUCAGAUAGUCCCAACUGCCACCUGCAUGAUAACAUAGCGUGUAUAAGAACAAUAAGUAAGAACCCCUGCUCUACCCUGCUCUACAUCAUUGAGAAAGAACACACAAGACAUGAUGUUAACAUGCCAGUGGAUGCACAUCUUUAGGAACAGGAGCUAAAUAUUACAGAAAUAAUCCCUCCGUCCUAAAAUAAGUGUCUCAAGGUUAGUAUAACUUUGUACUAAUGUUAGUACAAAGUUGAGACAUUAUUUUGAGACAGAGAGAGUACAAAAUACUGAAAAGAAAAGCAAAAUCGAGAUGAAAAAACUUACAAGUACAUCUACAGACCAAAACUGAAGGAAAAAAGAACAAGGAAUGUACGUACUACAUGAAUGGAGGACCUCUUCAAUGUAAAUUAGUUGUCUGGCAGGGAGAACUAGUUAAGUUAUACAAUAGUAUGAAGUAUACAUCCCAAUCCUAAUUGCACAUGCUGACACAGUGUCUCUUCUGUUAUGUACUACUCCCUCCAUUCCUAAAUAUUUGUCUUUUAGAGAUUUCAAAUGGACUACCACAUACGUAUUUAUAUAGACAUAUUUUAGAGUGUAGAUUCACUCAUUUUGCUUGGUAUGUAGUCACUUGUUGAAAUCUCUAGAAAGAAAAAUAUUUAGGAAUGGAGGGAGUAGUACUAGUUCCAACUGCUGCAACUAGGUAGCCUUGAUCAAACGUACAUGCAUCAACACAAGCUAGCUAUCUCACCUCAUUGGCGCCAAAUGGCUACUUACUAGUUACUAGUCAACCAAACUAUCUUUCAACACAUAGACUUGACUUUAUUUUCCAAACUAAUAGGGUUGUCUUUGUUUUUCAGCAAUCAUACAAACAAAAACUAUACCUAAACAGACAUGCAAACAACGAUGGCCAUGGCCUCACUGUAGAACGUGAACCUCACCACCAUAGUAGCCCGCCAUGGAACCAUCUCCUCAAUCUCCCCGGUAUUCAACUUGAAAGACACGAGAAAAUCCUGCACCUCAACCACCAAAAAACAAGCCAUCCAUUACAAUAGCACACAUACGCCAC
rnacentral:lncRNA from 1 species